AGUGAACGCUGGCGGUAGGCCUAACACAUGCAAGUCGAACGGCAGCACAGUAAGAGCUUGCUCUUACGGGUGGCGAGUGGCGGACGGGUGAGGAAUACAUCGGAAUCUACUUUUUCGUGGGGGAUAACGUAGGGAAACUUACGCUAAUACCGCAUACGACCUACGGGUGAAAGCAGGGGAUCUUCGGACCUUGCGCGAUUGAAUGAGCCGAUGUCGGAUUAGCUAGUUGGCGGGGUAAAGGCCCACCAAGGCGACGAUCCGUAGCUGGUCUGAGAGGAUGAUCAGCCACACUUGAGAUGAGACGCGGUGCAGACUCCUACGGGAGGCAGCAGUGGGGAAUAUUGGACAAUGGGCGGAAGCCUGAUCCAGCCAUACCGCGUGGGUGAAGAAGGCCUUCGGGUUGUAAAGCCCUUUUGUUGGGAAAGAAAAGCAGCAGGUUAAUACCCCGCUGUUCUGACGGUACCCAAAGAAUAAGCACCGGCUAACUUCGU
rnacentral:rRNA from 1 species